rnacentral:lncRNA from 1 species
GGGCCACCAUGAUGGCCCACCCAGAGGUUGAGUGGGUUUGGUGGGUCGACUCGGAUGCGGUCUUCACUGACAUGGAGUUUAAGCUCCCACUGAACCGUUACAAGAACCAUAAUCUUGUGGUUCAUGGUUGGGAGGAGCUUAUACACCUUAAUCGUAGCUGGACUGGGCUAAACGCUGGCGUUUUUUUGAUGAGGAAUUGCCAGUGGUCAUUGGACUUUAUGGACGCGUGGACCAGCAUGGGCCCACAAUCACCAGAGUAUGAGAAAUGGGGUGAGGUCCAAAGAUCCACAUUCAAGGACAAGGUACGUAUACUACAAUAGAUCCUCUUAAUUUUAGUCUAAGCAUAUCACAUGUGACAGAAUUUGAUUUUAACGAUAAUUACCUAAUAUUAGAUAUUAAUAUGUGGCAUGUGAUCGCUGCUUUUUACAUUAUUAUUUUAAUUUUUUUAUAACAAACUCAUUAUAUGGUAUGUGCCAUGUUAAAUUCAGUAUGCAUUACAUAAACUAAUUGAAUUUUUUUUAUAUAAUUAUCAUUCAAACUAUUUCUCAUCCCAUCUUUUGGUAUUAAGUAUGCAUAUUUUUAGAAGUACCAUUCUCUAUAUUUUCCGCCCAUUCCAUAAAGUAAACACGACUACACUAAGUACUAGCUAUGAUUUCAACAAUUUCUCUUUUAUGUAUAAACCAUGUAUACCUUACUGAUGACAUAUCAUUAUCAUGCAUUGGAAAAAGUUGUUUGUUCAAGUCACAUUUGUCAUCCUAGAAAUGAAUUUUUGUAUCUAUAAUUAAUACUACUGUCAUAUAAAAAUGUACAUAAUUACAUUCAUUUUUUUGUUGCAAUAAUCUCAUUCUUAUUUUGAUUAUAAACUAAUAUUGUUAUGUCAUGUUCGGUAUAAUUUUUAAUUGACAUAUAAUGAAAUUUUUGAGAAGUCUUAAGAAUGAUUUAAAUAUAUGAUAGAUUAAUUUAUUUUAUUCUGUUUUUUCUCUUCAACUCUUCACCUGGUCUAACACAUGCUGAAAAAUAAGAUUGAUAUUGUUUAUUAUAUUAUUUUAUACAUGAUUUAAACACAUGUUGAAUUAUUUCUCUGAUUAUUAAUUGAUUUUGAGAUUUAACCUUAACCCAAAUUAGAACCAAAAUGAAUUUUUUCUUUAUGGAAAACUAAUAUAAUCUAAACCUCCAUAAGGUGAUGCCAGAGUCAGAUGACCAAACAGCCCUUGCUUACCUGAUAGCAGUAGAGAAGGACAAGUGGACAAACAAGAUAUACUUAGAGGACAACUACUACUUCGAAGGUUAUUGGUUAGAGAUUGAAAAAACAUACAACAACAUAAGCAAGAAAUACAAUGAGUUAGAGAGACAAGUGAAAGGGUUAAGGAGAAGACAUGCAGAAAAGGUAAGUGAAACUUAUGGUGCAAUGAGAGAAGGGUACCUUAAUAAUAUAGGGCAGUGGAGGAGGCCAUUUAUCACUCACUUCACUGGGUGUCAACCAUGUAAUGGGCACCAUAAUCCUAAUUAUGCUGCUGAAGAUUGUUGGAAUGGCAUGGAGAGGGCUCUUAACUUUGCUGAUAAUCAAGUGUUGAGAAAAUAUGGUUUUGUGCAUAACAGUCUCAUGGAUAAGGCUGUUUCACCUAUACCUUUUGAUUAUCCUGCUGUGUGAUACAAUAAGAUAAAUCCAUAUUUAUUCCUGUGUAUCUUAUUGUUAAGGUUAUUUUUUAGUUUUGUUUGAAAAGGUUAUUAUUAAUAAAAUAAUUAAGAGUAAAGUAAAAAUUUAUUGCCUGUCCCAAUUUGGUCCUAAAAAACUGAAAAACCCAAAGUAAAUAAGUAAUCCCAAAAAUAUCAAAUGCGAGUCAAAUUAAUCAUUUUAAACAUGUUUUAUGACAUUUGUUAUUAUAAGCAAAUGCAUUAAAAAUGGGCACAAGGGUACUAAUAUCAAAUGCCAUGAUGAUUAAGCAAAUAUAAGUCAAAAUAGUCUAUAUCAUAUGUCAUAAAUUGAGUAUUAUAUCAUCAUUCACAUAAUUGAGUACUAGUUUUUUAUUUUUUGGACAUCAAAUCAGUAUACACUAAAAUUUCUAAGGAUUAAAGUGUGUAUUCACUCAAUAAUUAAAAACACAAUAAUUUAGUUGGCUGCAUUUAAUGAUCAAGCCAAAUUUAAGGUCCAAGUCUUUAAUGGAACAUUUAAAAUAUAAAUAAUAAAAAAAUUACCAGUAGCUAUAAUAAAAUAAAAAAAUAUAACUAUACUGAAUUAUUUAUUUAUGAAAUAAAAAUAUAGUUUUUUUAAAUGUGUAAAAGUUGAUAGUAAUAUUUGAAUGAUUCAUAGGGUUCUGUUAUGAAACCCAUAAGAAGAUAAGACAAUCCGCACCUCUACACAAUUGAACAAGUUACACUACCAUACGCUACCCAAUACAAAAAAACAAAUGAACGCAUUCUUAAAAAUGGCAUCAUCACAAGAAGAACACACACAGCAUCACAAUAAGAACUCUCACACCAUCACAAGAAGAACACACACAUGGCUUCAAAGUUCAAUUCUAGAAGCAAACCCUCACCAUUGCUCUCAAAUGGUUGCAUCUUCCUUGGAGGAGCAUUAUCAACACUUCUCCUAGUUUGGGGUUUAUGCUCCUUCAUCAUUCCAAUUCCAAACUCCGACCCCAAACUCGACUUAGUAGCUACAAAACUAAAAUCACUAAAUUGCACCACUGACACCAUCACCAUUGUGGCACCCGAUACGUUGCAUGAUGCACUUGAAAGAACCUUUUAUGAUGAUCCUGAAAUGGCUUACACCAUGGACAAUCCAAUGAAAAAUUGGGAUGAGAAGCGUUUGGAGUGGCUACAACAUCAUCCAUCAUUCUUAGCAGGAGCACGAGAAAGGGUGCUUCUCGUGACAGGGUCACAACCCUCACGGUGCCGCAACCCUAUUGGGGAUCAUCUUCUCUUAAGAUUUUUUAAGAAUAAAGUUGAUUAUUGUCGAUUACAUAACUAUGAUAUAUUCUAUAACAAUGUGUUGAUCCAUCCAAAGAUGAACAUUUAUUGGGCCAAGUAUCCGAUGGUUCGGGCCACCAUGAUGGCCCACCCAGAGGUUGAGUGGGUUUGGUGGGUCGACUCGGAUGCGGUCUUCACUGACAUGGAGUUUAAGCUCCCACUGAACCGUUACAAGAACCAUAAUCUUGUGGUUCAUGGUUGGGAGGAGCUUAUACACCUUAAUCGUAGCUGGACUGGGCUAAACGCUGGCGUUUUUUUGAUGAGGAAUUGCCAGUGGUCAUUGGACUUUAUGGACGCGUGGACCAGCAUGGGCCCACAAUCACCAGAGUAUGAGAAAUGGGG